AUAAUGCCCAUGUUCUGCAUUUCACUUAUUGUGAAUACACUUUGCGAAAGUGAAUUUGGGUGUUCCACAAUUCGUUAUUGUGAAUUGGAUUUUCGAACAUGAAAAUGGAUGUUCUGUAUUUCGGUUUGUUCCAUUUUUUGAACGCAUUCAAAUCACAUUUUAUAUUUCUGUGAAUUGUAUUGUCUGCCAUACAGUUGCAAUUAGUUUGUUCUUUCUUUAGCAUUAGCUUGAAAUUUUCUUCGUCUUCCUGCAAAAUGGGAAAACAUAAAAAUAUACGACAGGAGAAGGUAUUCCUGAAAUGGAUGGAGGAUCAUCCGAUCAUAGCAAGAGGCUUCUCAAGCGGAGACAAAGCCCACUCCGAAUCAUUGUGGGCUAAUCUGUCCACUUCCUUAAACAGUGAGGGACCGCCAGUAAAAGACGUAACUGGAUGGAAGAAGGUAUGGUCCGACUGGAAAUCCAACAUACGCAAAAAACUGGCACACAACAAAAGGGAAGCC